rnacentral:rRNA from 1 species
AGAGUUUGAUCAUGGCUCAGAGCGAACGCUGGCGGCGUACUUAACACAUGCAAGUCGAACGAGGAUCAUCGGGUUAGCAAUAAUUCGGUGGUCCUAGUGGCGUACGGGUGAGUAACACGUGGGUAACCUGCCCUCGAGUCCGGGAUACCCUCUCGAAAGGGAGGCUAAUACUGGAUACGUUCCCUGGGGCGCAAGACCUGGGGAGGAAAGGUAGCGAAAGCUGCCGCUCUUGGAGGGGCUCGCGGCCUAUCAGCUAGUUGGUGAGGUAACGGCUCACCAAGGCUAUGACGGGUAGCUGGUCUGAGAGGACGACCAGCCACACGGGAACUGAGACACGGUCCCGACUCCUACGGGAGGCAGCAGUGGGGAAUUUUCCGCAAUGGGCGAAAGCCUGACGGAGUGACGCCGCGUGGGGGACGAAGGCCUUCGGGUCGUAAACCCCUGUCAGAGGGAAAGAAGGGUGCUGGCUUGAAUAGCGCCGGCAUCUGACGGUACCUUCAGAGGAAGCCCCGGCCAACUCUGUGCCAGCAGCCGCGGUAAGACAGAGGGCGCAAGCGUUGCUCGGAAUCACUGGGCGUAAAGGGCGCGUAGGCGGGAUGGCAAGUCGGUCGUGAAAUCCUUCGGCUCAACCGAAGAACGUCGGCCGAUACUGCCGUUCUUGAGGGAUGCAGAGGAGAUUGGAAUUCCCGGUGUAGCGGUGAAAUGUGUAGAGAUCGGGAGGAACACCGGUGGCGAAGGCGGGUCUCUGGGCAUCUCCUGACGCUGAGGCGCGAAAGCGUGGGGAGCAAACGUGAUUAGAUACCCCGGUAGUCC